UCUUGUUGUCGGAGAAAAUCCAUCUGUCCAAGGAACCAUUGGGCAUGAGCUCGUAGACGAGCAGCCUGUGUGAAGCAUCGGCACAGAAGCCAUAGAGUUUGACAAUGUUGAUGUGGCUUAUGUUUCCCAGAGCGUUUAAGGAAACUGUUUAGUUCGUCGAGCAUGACCCUCCUUCGAUGCAGGAUCGUGAAAAGCAACGCAAAAGUUACAAUGGCUACAGCAGCUCCUCCAGAGGCACUAACCUGGAGUAAUUCUGGUACUUCAGAAAGCCGAACAGUUGCUGAGUCUUGUUCGAGUCUACCGUCAAGCUUCCCAGGACGUCUUCUAUGAAAAAGCAAUUCUGGAGCGCCUGGUCGAAAAAGAACGCCGCACAGGAGCAAGUGGAUUUGCAUUGCUCGAGGCAAUCUUGCAUUGCAGCGCCUGUUCUAUCGGGAGGGUUGAAAGUGUUGGCGAAGUACGAUGCACCUGCGAGUGUUACAAAGUCGGUCUCGUACCUGGAGCUGCAGUUUGCAAGAGAAGACCAUUCUGGCUGGGCACAACUUCCAAGUGCUGAGCCCAUAGCUCCCGCAUGGCGCUGGCGGUGGAAAGAACUGACUCGUGCUAUCGAGCUCCCAGCUUCCAUUUGCCAACUCUCGCCUGUAUGAAACCAUGGUCCCAUCAUCGGCAAGCUGGAAAUACCUCAUUGUGGUGUUCCCUGGGAAUAUUUCCCCGGACAGUGGAGAGCCACACGGCUGUUCGUUACCACCAACACGAAUAGGUUCGUAUACCAUGCUCAUUUCUCCUGCUGGCGUGAAUGAAAGAGCAGUUCGAUAUCCUGGGCAGUUUACACUGGGCGAGCCAAUUUGUGAUCCGACGAAGCUCCACAACAUUUACUAGCUUCUGGUUUGGCAUCAGUGCGCUCCAUGGGCGAUCAAAGGAACUCCAUACCGGGGUCUCAGAUUCAUCGAAGAGCUGCAAGUUCCCGGAAUUCUGAAUGCCGAUAUAGGCAACGCUUUCGUUUGGAGACCAUGCCACGGAACCAUUUGCAUCCAGGAGCUACGGGAGCUGCUGUGGAAGAGUUGCGAGUGCCAAACAUCAGUGCCAGAGAUUCUGGCCGGCUAGAAGGGUUAUCCUUUGGAAGAGCACUCACCAGGCGAUAACUCCCGGAUCUGCCACCGCCUUGGAAUUCUGGGAGACUGUUGUUCAUGAAAAUGCGCCAUUUAUCAGGUAUCGUGUACAACUUCCCUUCAGAAGUAACUGUGAGGAGCAUUAUUAGUUCCAGGAACAACGCCUUAGCAACCUGUGAAACCUUUUGCUUUUGCAUUGCUGCCGUUCUGCAUUGAGAACACCUGCUUAUACGAGACUUGGUACUCGAGACUGGAAUAAGUGGAAGAAGUAUGAAUAUGAAUGAGUCAAGUGAAUGGACCGCUCCCGUUCUAUAGAUACAAAAAUAGCUAGCGCAUUCUGCUUCAUGGUUCAUGGCUAUGAAGAUUUUUUUGGUCGCUUUCUUUCAGCUGAUGACAAUUCUCUUUCGUGUGCACGGCAGGAACUACAGUCUAUCACACGGCUGGGAAGUAACGAACAACAAUCAGCUUCUGGAAUUGCAAGGAUCA